rnacentral:rRNA from 1 species
AAUCAACGCUGGCGGCGUGCCUAACACAUGCAAGUCGAACGCGAAAGCGUCUUCGGACGUGAGUAGAGUGGCGUCCGGGUGAGUAACACGUAGGUAAUCUACCUUCGGGUGGGGAAUAACGCCUCGAAAGAGGCGCUAAUACCGCAUAACGCAGCGGCAGCUAAUGCUGAUCAGUUGUUAAGGCGGGGGACCGAGAGAUCGGCCUCGCGCCUGAAGAGGAGCCUGCAGCAGAUUAGCUAGUUGGCGGGGUAACGGCCCACCAAGGCGACGAUCUGUAGCUGGUCUGAGAGGACGGCCAGCCACACUGGCACUGACACACGGGCCAGACUCCUACGGGAGCAGCAGU